AACGUCCUGCCAAACCCGUCUCGC
rnacentral:siRNA from 1 species